CAGUCGCCGCGGUAAUACGUAGGGUGCGAGCGUUAAUCGGAAUUACUGGGCGUAAAGCGUGCGCAGGCGGUUCGUUAAGACAGAUGUGAAAUCCCCGGGCUUAACCUGGGAACUGCAUUUGUGACUGACGGGCUAGAGUAUGGCAGAGGGGGGUAGAAUUCCACGUGUAGCAGUGAAAUGCGUAGAGAUGUGGAGGAAUACCGAUGGCGAAGGCAGCCCCCUGGGCCAAUACUGACGCUCAUGCACGAAAGCGUGGGGAGCAAACAGGAUUAGAUACCCGCGUAGUCCUGUCUCUUAUACA
rnacentral:rRNA from 1 species